rnacentral:rRNA from 1 species
GACGAACGCUGGCGGCGUGCUUAACACAUGCAAGUCGAACGAUGAACCCGGAGCUUGCCCUGGGGGAUUAGUGGCGAACGGGUGAGUAACACGUGAGUAACCUGCCCUGGACUCUGGGAUAAGCGUUGGAAACGCCGUCUAAUACAGGAUAGGAUCUUGGAAAGCAUGAUCUGGGGUGGAAAGUUUUUUCGGUCUGGGCUGGAAUCGCGGCCUCUCCGCUUGUUAGUGAGGUAAUGACUCUCCAAGGCGUCGACGGGUAGCCGGCCUGAGAGGGUAACCGGCCACACUGGGACUGAGACACGGCGCAGACACCUACGGGAGGCAGCAGUGGGGAAUAUUGCACAAGGAGCGAAAGCCUGAUGCAGCAACGCCUCAUGCGGGAUGACGGCCUUCGGAUUGUAAACCGCUUUUAGUAGAGAAGAAGGGCUUCGGCUUGACGGUACCUGCAGAAAAAGGACCGGCUAACUACGUG